AGCGUACACGGUGGAUGCCCUGGCAGUCAGAGGCGAUGAAGGACGUGCUAAUCUGCGAUAAGCGUCGGUAAGGUGAUAUGAACCGUUAUAACCGGCGAUUUCCGAAUGGGGAAACCCAGUGUGAUUCGUCACACUAUCAUUAACUGAAUCCAUAGGUUAAUGAGGCGAACCGGGGGAACUGAAACAUCUAAGUACCCCGAGGAAAAGAAAUCAACCGAGAUUCCCCCAGUAGCGGCGAGCGAACGGGGAGCAGCCCAGAGCCUGAAUCAGUGUGUGUGUUAGUGGAAGCGUCUGGAAAGGCGCGCGAUACAGGGUGACAGCCCCGUACACAAAAAUGCACAUGCUGUGAGCUCGAUGAGUAGGGCGGGACACGUGGUAUCCUGUCUGAAUAUGGGGGGACCAUCCUCCAAGGCUAAAUACUCCUGACUGACCGAUAGUGAACCAGUACCGUGAGGGAAAGGCGAAAAGAACCCCGGCGAGGGGAGUGAAAAAGAACCUGAAACCGUGUACGUACAAGCAGUGGGAGCACAGAGCAAUCUGUGUGACUGCGUACCUUUUGUAUAAUGGGUCAGCGACUUAUAUUCUGUAGCAAGGUUAACCGAAUAGGGGAGCCGAAGGGAAACCGAGUCUUAACUGGGCGUUAAGUUGCAGGGUAUAGACCCGAAACCCGGUGAUCUAGCCAUGGGCAGGUUGAAGGUUGGGUAACACUAACUGGAGGACCGAACCGACUAAUGUUGAAAAAUUAGCGGAUGACUUGUGGCUGGGGGUGAAAGGCCAAUCAAACCGGGAGAUAGCUGGUUCUCCCCGAAAGCUAUUUAGGUAGCGCCUCGUGAAUUCAUCUCCGGGGGUAGAGCACUGUUUCGGCAAGGGGGUCAUCCCGACUUACCAACCCGAUGCAAACUGCGAAUACCGGAGAAUGUUAUCACGGGAGACACACGGCGGGUGCUAACGUCCGUCGUGAAGAGGGAAACAACCCAGACCGCCAGCUAAGGUCCCAAAGUCAUGGUUAAGUGGGAAACGAUGUGGGAAGGCCCAGACAGCCAGGAUGUUGGCUUAGAAGCAGCCAUCAUUUAAAGAAAGCGUAAUAGCUCACUGGUCGAGUCGGCCUGCGCGGAAGAUGUAACGGGGCUAAACCAUGCACCGAAGCUGCGGCAGCGACGCUUAUGCGUUGUUGGGUAGGGGAGCGUUCUGUAAGCCUGCGAAGGUGUGCUGUGAGGCAUGCUGGAGGUAUCAGAAGUGCGAAUGCUGACAUAAGUAACGAUAAAGCGGGUGAAAAGCCCGCUCGCCGGAAGACCAAGGGUUCCUGUCCAACGUUAAUCGGGGCAGGGUGAGUCGACCCCUAAGGCGAGGCCGAAAGGCGUAGUCGAUGGGAAACAGGUUAAUAUUCCUGUACUUGGUGUUACUGCGAAGGGGGGACGGAGAAGGCUAUGUCAGCCGGGCGACGGUUGUCCCGGUUUAAGCAUGUAGGCGGAGGUUCCAGGUAAAUCCGGUACCUUAUUAACGCUGAGGUGUGAUGACGAGGCACUACGGUGCUGAAGUGAUAAAUGCCCUGCUUCCAGGAAAAGCCUCUAAGCAUCAGGUAACACGAAAUCGUACCCCAAACCGACACAGGUGGUCAGGUAGAGAAUACCAAGGCGCUUGAGAGAACUCGGGUGAAGGAACUAGGCAAAAUGGUGCCGUAACUUCGGGAGAAGGCACGCUGAUAUGUAGGUGAAGUCCCUCGCGGAUGGAGCUGAAAUCAGUCGAAGAUACCAGCUGGCUGCAACUGUUUAUUAAAAACACAGCACUGUGCAAACACGAAAGUGGACGUAUACGGUGUGACGCCUGCCCGGUGCCGGAAGGUUAAUUGAUGGGGUUAGCGCAAGCGAAGCUCUUGAUCGAAGCCCCGGUAAACGGCGGCCGUAACUAUAACGGUCCUAAGGUAGCGAAAUUCCUUGUCGGGUAAGUUCCGACCUGCACGAAUGGCGUAAUGAUGGCCAGGCUGUCUCCACCCGAGACUCAGUGAAAUUGAACUCGCUGUGAAGAUGCAGUGUACCCGCGGCAAGACGGAAAGACCCCGUGAACCUUUACUAUAGCUUGACACUGAACAUUGAGCCUUGAUGUGUAGGAUAGGUGGGAGGCUUUGAAGUGUGGACGCCAGUCUGCAUGGAGCCGACCUUGAAAUACCACCCUUUAAUGUUUGAUGUUCUAACGUUGACCCGUGAUCCGGGUUGCGGACAGUGUCUGGUGGGUAGUUUGACUGGGGCGGUCUCCUCCUAAAGAGUAACGGAGGAGCACGAAGGUUGGCUAAUCCUGGUCGGACAUCAGGAGGUUAGUGCAAUGGCAUAAGCCAGCUUGACUGCGAGCGUGACGGCGCGAGCAGGUGCGAAAGCAGGUCAUAGUGAUCCGGUGGUUCUGAAUGGAAGGGCCAUCGCUCAACGGAUAAAAGGUACUCCGGGGAUAACAGGCUGAUACCGCCCAAGAGUUCAUAUCGACGGCGGUGUUUGGCACCUCGAUGUCGGCUCAUCACAUCCUGGGGCUGAAGUAGGUCCCAAGGGUAUGGCUGUUCGCCAUUUAAAGUGGUACGCGAGCUGGGUUUAGAACGUCGUGAGACAGUUCGGUCCCUAUCUGCCGUGGGCGCUGGAGAACUGAGGGGGGCUGCUCCUAGUACGAGAGGACCGGAGUGGACGCAUCACUGGUGUUCGGGUUGUCAUGCCAAUGGCACUGCCCGGUAGCUAAAUGCGGAAGAGAUAAGUGCUGAAAGCAUCUAAGCACGAAACUUGCCCCGAGAUGAGUUCU
rnacentral:rRNA from 1 species